rnacentral:tRNA from 1 species
GAGGAUAUAGCUCAAGUGGUAGAGCAUAUGCUUAGCAUGCAUGAGGUCCUGGUUUCAACCCCCAGUACCUCCU